GAUGAACGCUGGCGGCGUGCUUAACACAUGCAAGUCGAACGGAAAGGCCCUGCUUUUGUGGGGUGUUCGAGUGGAGAACGGGUGUGUAACACGUGAGAAAUCUGCUUUUGUCUUUGGGAUAACUUCAGGAAACUGGGGCAUAUACCGGAUAGGAGUUCUUGCUCAUUGGUGGGGGUUGGAAAGUUUCGGCGGUAGGGGAUGGACUCGCGGCUUAUCAGCUUGUUGGUGGGGUAGUGGCUUACCAAGGCUUUGACGGGUAGCCGGCCUGAGAGGGUGACCGGCCACAAUGGGACUGAGAUACGGCCCAGACUCCUACGGGAGGCAGCAGUGGGGAAUAUUGCACAAUGGGCGGAAGCCUGAUGCAGCGACGCCGCGUGCGGGAUGACGGCCUUCGGGUUGUAAACCACUUUCACCUGGGACGAAGCGUAAGUGACGGUAAUUGGUAAAGAAGCACCGGCUAACUACGUG
rnacentral:rRNA from 1 species